AGAGUCUGCGUCUUUGGCAGGAUGCACAGUGACUGAACCAAGGCACUCUCUGCCUGAGUAAAGAGGGAGUGAAGUACUCAGAGUAGGAAACGCCUCUACCCUGCCUUUCCCUACCAUGGGCUUCUUGCUCCUCUGCUGUGUGGCCUUUUGUCUCUUGAGAACAGGCUCCAUAGAUGCUGGCAUUACCCAGACCCCAAGGCAUGGAAUUAUAAAGACAGGAAAGAGCAUUUUACUGAAGUGUUCUCAGACUGAGAGUCAUAAUUUUAUGUAC